AGUACACUCCUACGGGAGCAGCAGUAGGGAAUCUUCACAAUGGGCGAAAGCCUGAUGGAGCAACGCCGCGUGCAGGAUGAAGGCCUUCGGGUUGUAAACUGCUUUUAUAAGCGAGAAAUAUGAUGGUAACUUAUGAAUAAGGAUCGGCUAACUACGUGCC
rnacentral:rRNA from 1 species